AUUGAACGCUGGCGGCAGGCCUAACACAUGCAAGUCGAGCGGAUGAAGGGAGCUUGCUCCUGGAUUCAGCGGCGGACGGGUGAGUAAUGCCUAGGAAUCUGCCUGGUAGUGGGGGAUAACGUCCGGAAACGGGCGCUAAUACCGCAUACGUCCUGAGGGAGAAAGUGGGGGAUCUUCGGACCUCACGCUAUCAGAUGAUCCUAGGUCGGAUUAGCUAGUUGGUGGGGUAAAGGCCUACCAAGGCGACGAUCCGUAACUGGUCUGAGAGGAUGAUCAGUGACACUGGAACUGAGACACGGACCAGACUACUAAGGGAGGCAGCAGUGGGGAAUAUUGGACAAUGGGCGAAAGCCUGAUCCAGCCAUGCCGCGUGUGUGAAGAAGGUCUUAGGAUUGUAAAGCACUUUAAGUUGGGAGGAAGGGAAGUAAGUUAAUACCUUGCUGUUUUGACGUUACCAACAGAAUAAGCACCGGCUAACUUCGUG
rnacentral:rRNA from 1 species